AUGGAGACGAUGGCGGCGAACGGCGGUGGGAAGGGCCGGGCGGCGGCGAGAUACGGGGACAGGGAGCAGCAGGGCGCGCGCCGCUUCCAGAUGCCGCUGCACUACCCGAGGUACACCAGGGCCAACUACGAGGCCAUGCCCGAGUGGCAGCUCGACCGCCUCCUCUCCGACUACGGCCUCCCCGUCCACGGCAGCGUCCACCAGAAGCGCAGCUUCGCCAUGGGCGCCUUCCUCUGGGGCGCCGGCAACUGA
rnacentral:rRNA from 1 species